CCUGCAAAUAAAUCAUCCCUUCCAUAGGUAAAACAUUUGAUUCAUUAAUGUGACACAAAAGCAUAAACAAACAAGCCAUAUACUGAGAGGAUUAAAUUGUGUUUGAAAACCAAUAUGUUGUGUAGUGUUAAUUAUACUUAAAACACAAGGGUAUGUAUUGGUUUAGACACUCAAAAUGUUUCAACUGCUGGAAACACUGAGAUGGCAACCAGCUCGUGAUUUAUUUCACUUUUUAAAGCCACUAAAACCAUUCUGGAAAUAUUUCGAAUUGACUUAAAUUGGACGAUAGAUAGCUCACCAGCAUUUGGUUCGUACCAAGAGACGAAGGAUGAUAGAGAUACGUCUCCAACAACAUCUCUUCUUUUAGAAGAUACACAAAUUAGUUUAAAAAUAUUCCUAAGACAUGUUUUUAGUGUCUCUCUAUUUUAGAAGUAGAGACACUAUCUAAAGAUUUUUCCUGGUAUAGGGACGAUUUUCAAGUUUUUGUCUUUGUUCCCUUCUACAAAUUUAUUUCUAUCCCCGGUGUAUGUGUUUCCUUUAUCUCAGAAUAGUAACCAAACACAACCUUUGAGAUGUGGGACAUCAUUAAGCUCAAGGUGAAAAAUUCAAAAAUGUCUCAUAAUAUCAAAAACAAGAAGAGGAAGCCACAAACCAUCAAGCCCCCAUCCCAAGUAAAGAGGGGUAAUGCCUAUAGCAUCACGAGCAGCAAUGAAGCUUUUAUCUCUUGUGUCAAGAAGCACAAAGGAGAACAUCCCAUCCAGCAUAUCAAUAAAUUCUUCUCCAUACUCUUCG